rnacentral:rRNA from 1 species
AACGAACGCUGGCGGUAUGCUUAACACAUGCAAGUCGAACGAACAAAAUUGGGGCUUGCUCCAAUUUUAGUGAGUGGCAAACGGGUGAGUAACACGUGGGAAUCUACCUAUCAGUACGGAAUAACAUUUGGAAACAGAUGCUAAUACCGUAUAUUCUCUAAGGAGGAAAGAUUUAUCGCUGAUAGAUGAGCCCGCGUAAGAUUAGGUAGUUGGUAGGGUAAUGGCCUACCAAGCCGACGAUCUUUAGCUGGUCUGAGAGGAUGAUCAGCCACACUGGGACUGAGACACGGCCCAGACUCCUACGGGAGGCAGCAGUGGGGAAUAUUGGACAAUGGGCGAAAGCCUGAUCCAGCAAUACCGCGUGAAUGAUGAAGGCCUUAGGGUUGUAAAGUUCUUUUAGUUGGAAAGAUAAUGACGGUACCAACAGAAAAGCCCCGGCUAACUCCGUG